UCCUCCAUAUCAAUAAAAAUGAAGCCAAGUUAUGAAAACACCAAAAGACCAAUAAAAUAUUGGCUUAUAUCUUGGCUUCGUUUUGUUCCUCCACAUCGGCCGCCUCUGCAGCUCAUCCCCAUCUUCCUCUUCCUCUUCCAAGGCAAGAUUCAUCCUCUUCCUAUUAGCCCUUUUCUCCCAUUUGGUUUCUGACCACGAGGGCUUGUUUUUCCCAUUAGCAGGGCGGCUACACCUUCACCGUGGGAUACCAUGAGCUCACCGGGACAAAGGUGACUCUCAAGAAGCCACUGCUGGUGCUUAGGAAGAAGAAGAAGAACGCCGCUGAGGAGGUGGAGCUGGAGGUCAUCGGUGUCAUCCGGCACAAGAUCCUCUUCAAGGACCGCCCCAAGGCUCUCAUCUCAAAGCCACCGACCAAGGAGAAGGCCCUGCCUGCGGCGACGAUUGCGACCCCAUCUUCCACUUCAUGAAGAAUCUCCAUCUUUUUGUGCUGGCGAAAAAAAUGCGACGCCGUGUAGUAUCCAAUUCAUGUUCAUGUUCUCUUCUCCCGUUUGGUUUGGGUGGUUGACACUUUGUGCUGUUCCGUGUCAAGGAACAUUUCGAUUUGCCACCUUUUGGUCUGAUUUUGGCAGCCGAACUUAAGGCCACAUAGAGCUUUUAUAACAACAAGAUUCGGCUUGGUUUCCACGAGCCAAGUCUUCUUCUUGGAAGAAAAUACAGUAGAUCACAAGUCU